AAUCAAACGUCACAAUGAAAACAAACUUGACAACUAGGGAUAAAUAGAAGCAUCCAUGAACAUAAUAUUGCACACUGUCUCAAACGUUGUGAUCUUAGUUUACAUAGUGUUCCCUCACCUCUGUCGGGCAUGCACUGUCCUUGGUAUGGCUCCACAGCUUGGCGUUUUCCUUGUGCUCCUAAUACCCAAUUCCCUUUUUUUGCUUCAGUGGGCCACCUUCUCAGCAUCACUUGCACUACUUCGCAUCCGAUUCUUUUUAGUAUUUACCAAAAAAAAACAGAAUUUAUGUAACGUUGUCAAUGUCAAUGGCACACAACCACAUCAAUCAUCAUAAUUAGCAACAAAGUAGAGCCUCAGGUGCUCGUCGACGGCUUCUUGUCCUAGCUUUCACAUGUGGAAAAUGCAAACGAGUAAUGUGUGAUCAUUACAAGUGUGAAUUUUGCCAUAUCAAAUGUAUGAACUGAAUAAUGUAAAUAAGAAAUAUGAUGAUGCAAGUUGUCGCUCAUUCUAGUUCUGCAAUAGAACAAUAGGUACAUCCAUAAUAAAUAUUAAACGAAGUUAAUUUUUCAUAUUUUAAGUUUGAAGAGAUGAUUUCAACCUGUUUACUGUGAAUUAAUGUGGUACUGUCAAGUACAAAACACAAGCACUGAUGCAAAUUUAUUGAUAACUAAAGCUGAACAUCAAUAUGAACUACACCGAGACUACGUGAGUCAAGAGCUGUAAACACAUACCAUUAUCUGUGAAGUAUGUAGCUAGAAGGAGUAGACAUCGAAACACUUCCUCUAAAGCAAAGUAGUGUGAUAGUAUGGUCUCGUCAUCCGGAUCGACAUGAUGCAAAGUAUGUUGAGGCAGAAUGAAUAGCUUUUUUGUCUGUUCUACAAUAGAUGAAGCGAAACACUCGGUAUGCAAUAUGUCAAAAAAGGAAGCACUAAAUUAAUUUCAUGUACUUGUAGCAUGUUCGCAAUCAGCUCUUACAUAAGAGAAAUUCAACCUAAACAUCAAGGCAUAAAUACAUGGUUUGCGCCCAAAUAACGUAAAGAGUAUGGCAUCUAAAAGGAAAGUUAGUCACCUCACAUUCCGAACUAUCCAUAUCAAUUACUAUCAUCAUCUCAAGGUUAACCUUGUUGCCGAUUCCAGAAGCACUUUCAUUUUGGAAGAAGAACGUUCCCGGUCAAAGGACCAAAUAUUGCAACGGGAAGACAUGAAGCGGAAUCAAACUUUCAGUUGCUUGUCUAAGAAAGUAAAGUGAAAAAAAUUAAGCUAAUCCUUCUACAAUAGACCCAAGAGGAAAGCACUUUGGAUGACAUUCAUUAGUAUCUGUAAUAUAUUCAUUAAAACGAGGUGCAGUUAUAUGAAAAGGAGAAUUGAACAAGUGCAAUUACACGAAUAGUGGAAUCGGGCAAGUUGCAUACAUAAACAUUGGAGAUAAAAUCCCAAAAUAGUAACCAAAGCAGAUAAGCACCAAAGAGUUAAAUUUAGAAAUUAUAUUUACAAAGCCGAACUUGUAGUGGCUUUUUAUUGGCA
rnacentral:lncRNA from 1 species